AAUGAACGCUGGCGGCGCGCCUAAUACAUGCAAGUCGAGCGAGAAGACGUAGCAAUACGUUUGUAAAGCGGCGAACGGGUGAGGAAUACAUGGGUAACCUACCCUCGAGUGGGGAAUAACUAGCCGAAAGGUUAGCUAAUACCGCGUACGCUCCUUGGACUUCGGUUCAGGGAGGAAAGCGAUACCGUGGGUAUCGCGCUCUUGGGUUGGGCUCAUGUCCUAUCAGCUUGUUGGUGAGGAACGGCUCACCAAGGCUUCGACGGGUAGCUGGUCUGAGAGGACGAUCAGCCACACUGGCACUGCGACACGGGCCAGGACUCCUACGGGAGCAGCAGUAAGGAAUAUUGCGCAAUGGGGCAAAGCCUGACGCAGCGACGCCGCGGUGGGGGAUGAAGGUCUUCGGA
rnacentral:rRNA from 1 species